UCUAGGGAGUGAACUUUUUGUUCCUCUUUUUUUUAAUAGGGCUGCAUAAAAACACACACAGCUUUCCCUCCCCAAAGAUGUAUGUACAAUUUCAAAAAUAAAUAAAAGGGUUUAUUUGAGAAGAAAUCCGACGUUCCCUCCCCGCGUAUCCAGGUAACCUUGAAAGCGUCACAUCAGAAAGUCCGGCUGAAGUUUUGGGAACGUGAAAAAAGCUAUUCAGAAGAGCAAGCUUCCCGACAGGAUAAGUCUGUACACCGCUCCGGGUGGAAUUCUAUUAUUUAUUUUUAGAAAAAGCGUCUUUCAAAUGCGGAAUCAAGGCAGGGAGCAACAUAUAUAUAUAUCUCAAGUGGUCCAGGAAGGAUCUCCCAGGGCAGCCUUCCCCAGCCAGGUGGCUGCAAAAUGUUCUGGCCUACAACUCCCGUCAGCCUUUGCAAUAUACAGCUGUGCUGGCUGCAGCUGAUGGGAGCUGUAGUCCUGAACAUCUGGAGGGCAUCAGAUUGAGGGGAGGGAGAAGGCUGGCCUAGGAAUAAAAGGGGGGGGAGGACGGGGGUGGCUGCGAUCCUUCUUACGAUCCAACAUGGAAGGAAAGGGUGCUUGCUGCCUGCUAUUGCCCAAAGGACACUUAAAAGUGCUUUUGAGGCUGCCGUUGUUGAGACAAGAACCACACUGUGGUCUCAAGCAAGCUAGGCUCUCUGCACUCCCCAUAUAGCUUCCCCUUCAUCCUCAGUUUCCCUUAUGCCCCCCCAAAUAAACCAAUCGGGGGCUUUUUCCCCAUAAAGUUUCCUGCGGCUCAACACGGCGAGCUGCUGCGGGAAACUUUCUUCCAGAGAUCCAACGAACUUG